CGGGUUGUAGCUGGCCUCUCACGAGGCAUGUGCACGCCUGGCUCAUCCACUCUUAACCUCUGUGCACUUUAUGUAAGAGAAAAAAAUGGUGGAAGCUUCCAGGAUCUCGCGAGAGGUCUUUGGUUGAACAAGCCGUUUUUCUUUCUUAUGUUUUACUACAAACGCUUCAGUUAUAGAAUGUCAACUGUGUAUAACACAUUUAUAUACAACUUUCAGCAACGGAUCUCUUGGCUCUCGCAUCGAUGAAGAACGCAGCGAAAUGCGAUAAGUAAUGUGAAUUGCAGAAUUCAGUGAAUCAUCGAAUCUUUGAACGCACCUUGCACUCCUUGGUAUUCCGAGGAGUAUGCCUGUUUGAGUCUCAUGGUAUUCUCAACCCCUAAAUUUUUGUAAUGAAGGUUUAGCGGGCUUGGACUUGGAGGUUGUGUCGGCCCUUGUCGGUCGACUCCUCUGAAAUGCAUUAGCGUGAAUCUUACGGAUCGCCUUCAGUGUGAUAAUUAUCUGCGCUGUGGUGUUGAAGUAUUUAUGGUGUUCAUGCUUCGAACCGUCUCCUUGCCGAGACAAUCAUUUGACAAUCUGAGCUCAAAUCAGGUAGGACUACCCGCUGAACUUAAGCAUAUCAAUAAGCGGAGGAA
rnacentral:rRNA from 1 species